rnacentral:rRNA from 1 species
GCACGUGUGCCUUCAAAAUAUGUGGACAGGUUUAGGGGCCGCAAGCCAUAUCCCACACAAAAUGUCCUAGCUGCCGUGGAUUUCGAUCUUAGAUUCACGUAUGUUCUAGCAGGGUGGGAGGGAUCUGCUCAUGAUUCUGCUGUAUUGCAUGAUGCCCUAUCUCGUCCAAACGGUCUCAAAAUUCCAGAAGGAAAAUUUUAUUUGGCUGAUGCUGGGUAUGCCACCAGGCCGGGCAUAUUGCCACCCUAUCGAGGUGUUCGCUAUCAUCUACAGGAGUUCCAUGGUCCGAAUCGUCCAACCUGUCCAAAAGAGCUGUUGACCACCGUCAUUCCUCACUAA